UACGUAGGGUGCAAGCGUUGUCCGGAAUUAUUGGGCGUAAAGAGCUCGUAGGCGGUCUGUUGCGUCGGCUGUGAAAACCCGGGCUCAACCCCGGGCCUGCAGCCGAUACGGGCAGACUAGAGUUCGGCAGGGGAGACUGGAAUUCCUGGUGUAGCGGUGAAAUGCGCAGAUAUCAGGAGGAACACCGGUGGCGAAGGCGGGUCUCUGGGCCGAUACUGACGCUGAGGAGCGAAAGCGUGGGGAGCGAACAGG
rnacentral:rRNA from 1 species